GUGCUCACUUUUGUACACAUAUACUAAAAUUAGAGUAAUACAGGGAAGAUGAGCAUGUCCCCUGAGCAAGAAUGAUAUACAAAAUCAUGAAGUGUUCCAUAUAUAU